CGAAUUCGCCCUUCCUACGGGAGGCAGCAGUGGGGAAUAUUGCGCAAUGGGGGAAACCCUGACGUAGCGACACCGCGUGAGCGAAGAAGCCCUCUGGGGUGUAAAGCUCUGUCAGCAGGGACGAAAAAAAUGACGGUACCUGCAGAGGAAGCAUCGGCUAACUACGUGCCAGCAGCCGCGGUAAGACGUAGGAUGCAAGCGUUGUCCGGAUUCAUUGGGCGUAAAGAGUUCGUAGGCGGUUUGUUAAGUCUGAUGUUAAAGAUCAGGGCCCAACCCUGAGAGUGCAUUGGAUACUGGCAGACUGGAGUGCAGUAGAGGCAAGUGGAAUUCCCAGUGUAGCGGUGAAAUGCGUAGAUAUUGGGAAGAACACCGGUGGCGCAGGCGACUUGCUGGGCUGUAACUGACGCUGAGGAACGAAAGCUAGGGGAGCAAAUGGGAUUAGAUACCCCAGUAGUCCUAGCUGUAAACGAUGGAUACUAGGCGUUGCAGGUAUCGACCCCUGCAGUGCCGCAGUUAACGCGAUAAGUAUCCCGCCUGAGUAGUACGGCCGCAAGGUUGAAACUCAAAGGAAUUGACGG
rnacentral:rRNA from 1 species